rnacentral:snRNA from 1 species
GGAUGUGAGGGCGAUCUGGCUGUGCCUUGUCACCCGUUAAUUGCCAGGGUUGAUUGGGCUGAGCUGGCUGCCUAGGGGGUUCCCUUUCCUCCUCAGUGCUCCAUUGGCAUCCCUCCUGAAGCUGCGCGCUGGGUGGAAGAAGAACACCACUCCUAGUAAAGCAGGAGCCUUCCUCCAUCAAGGGUGUGUAAGUAACUGCGCUCCCCUGACAGAACCUUGGAAUGAGCUAUCGAGUUUGUAUUCAAUUAACUGACCCAGUAGUGAAAAGCACUGUUGUUGCUGUUGUUC